AACAUAAAAGAAUAAAGGAAACUGAGUACUCCCCUGGGUGUGGUGUGCAUGGUGUGAUCCACUUGAUCAAGGCUCAAGUAAUUGGAGAGGGGAAGAGAGUCCCAACUGUAUUGAGCAAAAAGUGUAGCACUCUUUUUGAUUUGGUCAUAGCCCAUCCUACUUUUUCCAUGUACUCAUGAAGUAGCAUGAUUAGCUUAUCCUCUUU
rnacentral:lncRNA from 1 species